UUUAAAAUUUUGAAAUUUAAAAGUUAAAAUUUUAAAUUAAAAAUAUAAAUUUAAAAUUUAAAAUUUAAAUUCAAAUAUAAUGAGAGGGUAAUAUCAUUAUUUUUUAUUUAUAACUACCCACUAUUCUUCUUAUUCUAUCUUUCCUAACCAAACGCUAUUUUUCUUAUUCUCAUGAAUAACCUAAUUUUCAUUCAAACGCAAAAUUGAUCUAAUCCCCACUUAUACCUCAAUUUAUACUAUCCCUAGAAUAACCACCUUUUGCUUAUCCCCGAACCAAACGGUACCCUAUAGUUAAAUUCUAUUAACAACAACCAUUAUCUCUAUGAAAUCACUAUUUUGCCUUUUUAAAUAUUUUCUUCUAUCAUCACCAACUUUUUUUAUUUGUUCUUAAAUUAGAGGCAAAAAAAGUAUUUUAAUUUUUUGUCCUCAAAUAUACCCAUUUACUAUCACUAACUUUUCUUAUUUGCCUAAGUUAAGAGUAAAAGAAAUCUUUUAUUUUAUUUUUUAACUUUGGUAGACAUUUAAGGCUUAGUUUGGUAUUGAGGUCUAUCUAACGCUAUUAGAUAAAAUGGGGUUGAAGAAAAAACAUAUAGGGAUAUGCUUCUGCGUUCUCUGGUGGGACCACAAAAAAUAUAUCGUAACUGACUCAUCGCGAUAUGCGGAACACAAUAUUACAUAUGGAAACAAGCAAUGUAUUUUUCCAAUGUACUUUCUUACUGCACAUAACGCAAUUUCCCCGCAAUCCCAAACGAAGCCUAACUCACGUUUAACUUGAGAUAACUUAAGGGAUGAUUAGUGCGGGGGCAUAUUUGAAUAACGGAGGAACGUACGAGGGGUAUAUUUGAAACAAAAAAAAAAAAGGAUAAAUUAGAUAUUUUUAAAGUUUGAGAGGUAUAUAGGUAAUUAUUCCAAAAGUUUAUUUGUUUGUGUUCUAAAGAUUUUAUAGAAUUAUAUGUAGUA
rnacentral:lncRNA from 1 species